CUUUCUAAAGACGUUGAGGGGUACACUUCAGGGGUAAUACGCUACACCCGGCGGCACACCAGCUGUUUGGCGCCUCACUGCUGUGUGCCCAAAUGUAGUCCUGCGUCCUCAAAGAGAAACAAAUCCUACCGUGGACAGACUUUCCACCGUUUCGCCAAAGAGCAGGCACUUCGGCGUGAAUGAAUUUAUCACAUCAAGAGGGACCCUGGUCCAUAUUUCAAGAUCAACGCUGAGACCGAGGUUUGAUCUGAGCACGUUGAGAAGCAAUGCUUUGUUAAGGUCACCCGUGGUAUGACAACGCUAAUAAAGGAUGCUGUGCCUGCCAACUUUGUUCGCCUGGACUUCAGAGAAGCCAAAGAGGAGAAUCAUCAUUCGCAUACCGUGUAUGGAUUCCAUGGAGUAUUCCAUCGAGUAUUUCUUCUGUUUCAAUCGUCUCGGUGAAGUUUUUGAGCUGGAUCUGGAUUCUGCUGAGGAUUCGUCGACUACUAGAUGGCGAGCCACCCACUCAUUCGAAUGUGAUCCUGUUCUACAUUGCGCAUGGCAUAUUUGGUAGGAUUGUGGCCUGCUCGUGUCACAUCACUGACUAUGACUGACUUCAACGCCUUGAACUGAACUGCUUGAAAGGAGCUAUUUUUCUUUUUGAACAACUUGAAAGGAACUCUCUUCAUCGUCUCUUUUGAGGAUUUAAAGGGCUAUUUCCAAUUUUUGAAGGACAAUUCAAUUUUUUUUUUUUUUUAAAUGU